rnacentral:rRNA from 1 species
AGUGAACGCUGGCGGUAGGCCUAACACAUGCAAGUCGAACGGCAGCACAGGAGAGCUUGCUCUCUGGGUGGCGAGUGGCGGACGGGUGAGGAAUACAUCGGAAUCUACUCUGUCGUGGGGGAUAACGUAGGGAGACUUACGCUAAUACCGCAUACGACCUACGGGUGAAAGCAGGGGACCUUCGGGCCUUGCGCGAUUGAAUGAGCCGAUGUCGGAUUAGCUUGUUGGCGGGGUAAAGGCCCACCAAGGCGACGAUCCGUAGCUGGUCUGAGAGGAUGAUCAGCCACACUGGAACUGAGACACGGUCCAGACUCCUACGGGAGGCAGCAGUGGGGAAUAUUGGACAAUGGGCGCAAGCCUGAUCCAGCCAUACCGCGUGGGUGAAGAAGGCCUUCGGGUUGUAAAGCCCUUUUGUUGGGAAAGAAAUCCAGCUGGCUAAUACCCGGUUGGGAUGACGGUACCCAAGGAAUAAGCACCGGCUAACUUCGUGCCAGCCGCCGCAGUAA